rnacentral:rRNA from 1 species
AGAUGGCGACCGGCGCACGGGUGAGUAACACGUAUCCAACCUGCCGAUAACUCGGGGAUAGCCUUUCGAAAGAAAGAUUAAUACCCGAUGGUAUAAUCAGACCGCAUGGUCUUGUUAUUAAAGAAUUUCGGUUAUCGAUGGGGAUGCGUUCCAUUAAGCAGUUGGUGAGGUAACGGCUCACCAAACCUUCGAUGGAUAGGGGUUCUGAGAGGAAGGUCCCCCACGUUGGAACUGAGACACGGUCCAA